rnacentral:piRNA from 1 species
UGCCUCUACUGUAUGAGUCCUGGGUUCUC